AGGGAAUCGAGAUACCAAAGGGAAGGAAGUGUAGAGAAUUAUUCAAUUGAGGUGAGACUUCGCAAGGGAAUCGAGAUACCAAAGGGAAGGAAGUGUAGAGAAUUAUUCAAUUGAGGUUGAGCGGCGACGAGGGUAUGGUGGUGUUGAGCAAUUUAACUGGUGAUCGAACUGUUGUCUUUGAAUUAUGGGUGUCGUUGUGUCUUCACACAUGACGUCACUCUUUCUCUUGGUCGUUUCCGCUGUGACAUUUCUUACACUUAUCUUUUAUUGGGCUUGCAACUUAAAUUAUUUGGAUGCUGAAUACUUGGGAUUUUACCAGUUUAUGUCAAAUACUUGGUCGUUUCCUUUGAAUAUUAAUUAUUGGUCAAAUUCGUCUUUGAAGCCCUAAUUCUUUUUGUCUUUUAUUAAAUUCUCUUAAUCACGAUCGCCCACAU